rnacentral:rRNA from 1 species
UACGUAGGGGCCGAGCGUUGUCCGGAGUUAUUGGGCGUAAAGCGCGCGCAGGCGCCUCGCGCGCCCGACGUGAAAGCCCCCGGCUCAACUGGGGAGGGUCAUUCGAUACUGAUCGACUCGAAGGCAGGAGAGGGAAGUGGAAUUCCCGGUGUAGUGGUGAAAUGUGUUGAUAUCGGAAGGAACGCCGGUGGCGAAAGCGACACACUGGAUCUUGUCUGACGCUGAGGCACGAAAGCCAGGGGAGCGAACGGG